rnacentral:rRNA from 1 species
GAUGAACGCUGGCGGCGUGCCUAAUACAUGCAAGUCGAGCGAACAGACGCGGAGCUUGCUCCGCUGACGUUAGCGGAGGACGGGUGAGUAACACGUGGAUAACCUACCUAUAAGACUGGGAUAACUUCGGGAAACCGGAGCUAAUAGCGGAUAAUAUACUGAACCGCGUGGUGCAAUAGAGAAUGACGGUUUUGCUGGCAGUUAUAGAUGGAUCCGCGCCGCAUUAGCUAGUUGGUAAGGUAACGGCUUACCAAGGCGACGAUGCGUAGCCGACCGGAUAGGGUGAUCGGCGACAUUGGAAGUGAGACACGGUCCAGACGCCUACGGGAGGCAGCAGUAGGGAAUCGGCCGCAAUGGGCGAAAGCUUGACGGAGCGACGCCGCGUGAGUGAUGAAGGUCUUCGGAUCGUAAAACUCUGUUAUGAGGGAAGAACAAAUGUGUAAGUAACUAUGCACGGCUUGACGGUACCUAAUCAGAAAGCCACGGCUAACUACGUG